GACGAACGCUGGCGGCGUGCUUAACACAGGCAAGUCGAACGGAAAGGCCCUGCGUUUGUGUGGUGCUCGAGUGGCGAACGGGUGAGUAACACGGGAGUAACCUGCCCUUGACUUUGGGAUAACUUCAGGAAACUGGGGCUAAUACCGGAUAGGAGCUCCUGCUGCAUGGUGGGGGUUUGAAAGUUUCGGCGGUUGGGGAUGGACUCGCGGCGUAGCAGCUUGUUGGUGGGGUAGUGGCUUACCAAGGCUUUGACGGGUAGCCGGCCUGAGAGGGUGACCGGCCACAUUGGGACUGAGAUACGGCCCAGACUCCUACGGGAGGCAGCAGUGGGGAAUAUUGCACAAUGGGCGGAAGCCUGAUGCAGCAACGCCGCGUGCGGGAUGACGGCCUUCGGGUUGUACACCGCUUUCGCCUGUGACGAAGCGUGAGUGACGGUAAUGGGUAAAGAAGCACCGGCUAACUACGUG
rnacentral:rRNA from 1 species